AGUAAUGUACUAGUGAAUUCAAAGCAGGAAAGAUAAGAUUAGCUUGCCGAAGGAAGGCAGGAAGAAUCAAACAGAAUAUACUAAGUCUUGCCAAUGUGGAAAAGACACAGCCCAGUUAAUGUUAUAGACAUCUAUAAAAACGAAUGUAUCAACGGAUAGUAUACAGGAAGUCCAAAGGACCCAGACAGUUUCAGGGUAAUUCUAGCACUGUUUGAGGAAGAGUGUGCCUUCCUGGAUGCCGUAGGUUACUACAGUUCAGCGACACUGGUUAUCAAGAUCAUAACAUCAACUCUUUGUUAUUAUUGGCUCAAAAUUUUCUAUUUAUAAUAUGACUAUCCGUAUAUAGAUUUUCUGAAAAAGUGGGGGAUGUGAUGAUCAUCUUGAUACAAGGAAUUAGAUCUAUACUCUGCCACUGACUUGGGCAUCAGGGAUUUGAGUCAGAAACAUGGCUCUGCCCUUUGCUGCUGUCACCUGCAGCAGGAACACACUCCUGAUCAAGAAAGUUCACAUGACGUUUCUGGCUCUGAAAGAUUAAGGUCAAGAUGAAGUAAAUUCUGUUCUAGGAAAUCCCGCCUGAGAGGUCAGCUUCUCCCUAUCUCACUAUUUUGAUGCAGAAACCUUUCAGGAUCACGAAAGGCUCAUUACCUCUCCAGUGCCACACAGGGGAGUCUGGGCUUUGGAUCUGGGCUGCCCGGAGUUAGUACUGGCACCAUCACUUAAGACCGGGGAGAUCCCGAGCAGGACAACCUAAAGCCUCUCAAUCUCAAAUUCCUCACAUUCCACCUGCUAACCAUACCGACCUGAUGGGGCUGCUGUGGACUAAAUACACUUAGUGAACACACACAAAGAACUUCCAACAUGCCAUGUAUGAGACUCCUGUCACAUCUCACAUAGACCUCAUCUGUGUUGUCUCAAGUAAAUUUCAGAAGGCGAGCCUUUGCUGUAAAUGUAAAGAAAAAUCCCAGAUUUGACUCAGUUGCUUGUUUCAGAAGACCAAAAGCUGUUCACCAGGGGACAGGGAUGCUCAGGCACUGGAGCAGGGACAGACAGGCUGCACGGGCAGCAGACAUCUGUGUGAAUGCAUUCUUAAGCUGUUUCCGUGAGGAACUAAGGAUUCAGUCUGAUUCUCAUGAGGAGACGCUGCUAUCACACACAGACCCCACGAGUCGUUUUGGCGGGAAAGGCAGAAGCUGAGUGUGGCUGCAGAGACCGAGAGUCCCACAGUUGUCAGCCCACC